GAGGAGUGGCUGAGUGGUUGAAGGCACCGGUCUUGAAAACCGGCAACGUCUUCAUGGCGUUCGUGGGUUCGAAUCCCACCUCCUCC
rnacentral:tRNA from 1 species